rnacentral:rRNA from 1 species
UACAGAGGAUGCAAGCGUUAUCCGGAAUUAUUGGGCGUAAAGCGUCUGUAGGUGGCUUUUUAAGUCCGCCGUCAAAUCCCAGGGCUCAACUCUGGACAGGCGGUGGAAACUGCCAAGCUGGAGUACGGUAGGGGCAGAGGGAAUUUCCGGUGGAGCGGUGAAAUGCGUAGAGAUCGGGAGGAACAUCCGUGGCGAAGGCGACGGCCUGGACCAGCACUGACACUGAGGCACGAAAGCGUGGGGAGCAAACAGG